rnacentral:rRNA from 1 species
UAAGGAAUAUUGGACAAUGGACGCAAGUCUGAUCCAGCCAUGCCGCGUGAAGGAUUAAGGUCCUCUGGAUUGUAAACUUCUUUUAUAAGGGACGAAAAAGGCUUUUCUAAGUCGUCUGACGGUACCUUAUGAAUAAGCACCGGCUAACUCCGUGCCAGCAGCCGCGGUAAUACGGAGGGUGCAAGCGUUAUCCGGAUUCACUGGGUUUAAAGGGUGCGUAGGCGGGCAGGUAAGUCAGUGGUGAAAUCCUAGAGCUUAACUCUAGAACUGCCAUUGAUACUAUCUGUCUUGAAUAUUGUGGAGGUAAGCGGAAUAUGUCAUGUAGCGGUGAAAUGCUUAGAUAUGACAUA